rnacentral:rRNA from 1 species
UACGUAGGGGGCAAGCGUUGUCCGGAUUUAUUGGGCGUAAAGAGCUCGUAGGUGGUUUGUCGCGUCUGCCGUGAAACGAUGCCGGUCAACCCGUGACUUGCAGUGGGUACGGGCAGACUAGAGUGUGGUAGGGGAGACUGGAAUUCCUGGUGUAGCGGUGGAAAUGCGCAGAUAUCAGGAGGAACACCGGUGGCGAAGGCGGGUCUCUGGGCCGAUACUGACGCUGAGGAGCGAAAGCGUGGGGAGCGAACAGG